rnacentral:rRNA from 1 species
AGAACGAACGCUGGCGGCAUGCCUAAUACAUGCAAGUCGAACGAACACUUCGGUGUUAGUGGCGCACGGGUGCGUAACGCGUGGGAAUCUGCCCUUGGGUUCGGAAUAACAGUUGGAAACGACUGCUAAUACCGGAUGAUAUCGAAAGAUCAAAGAUUUAUCGCCCAGGGAUGAGCCCGCGUAGGAUUAGCUAGUUGGUGAGGUAAAGGCUCACCAAGGCGACGAUCCUUAGCUGGUCUGAGAGGAUGAUCAGCCACACUGGGACUGAGACACGGCCCAGACUCCUACGGGAGGCAGCAGUAGGGAAUAUUGGACAAUGGGCGCAAGCCUGAUCCAGCAAUGCCGCGUGAGUGAUGAAGGCCUUAGGGUUGUAAAGCUCUUUUACCCGAGAUGAUAAUGACAGUAUCGGAAGAAUAAGCCCCGACUAACUCCGUGCCAGCACGCCGC